GCACUGGGGAGGAGAAGGGAGGGUGGGCUCAGGCCCCGGUGGCGCGAGUCUCUGGCCUGGCCUCGACCAGCAUCUACCCUCCUCAGGAGACACACCUUUCUGACACAGCCCCCUAGUCCUAGGGCUGGGGAUGGGCACAGGCUGUGGGGUCAGUAAGACUUCCUCUGAGGCCGUGGAACAGGGGCUCAUCACUUAGGCUCUCUGGGGUCAGUUCUCUCCUCUGUACAGUGGCUUCUCCUCAGGGUUGUAAUGACCUUGGAUGUGCUAAGGCGCUAACCCUGGCCCUGGGCCUGUGCAGCACAUACACACUAGAUGGGAGCCCC